CCGGCAACGAGCGCAACCCACACUCUAGUUGCCAUCAUUCAUUGGGCACUCUAGGAGAACUGCCGGUGAUAAGCCCGGAGGAAGGUGUGGAUGACGUCAAGUCCUCAUGGCCCUUACGGUUGGGCUACACACGUGCUACAAUGGUGGUGACAAUGGGUUAAUCCCCAAAAAGCCAUCUCAGUUCGGAUUGGGGUCUGCAACUCGACCCCAUGAAGUCGGAAUCGCUAGUAAUCGCGUAACAGCAUGACGCGGUGAAUACGUUCCCGGGCUU
rnacentral:rRNA from 1 species